rnacentral:rRNA from 1 species
AUUGAACGCUGGCGGCAUGCUUUACACAUGCAAGUCGAGCGGCAGCGCGGGGGCAACCCUGGCGGCGAGCGGCGAACGGGUGAGUAAUGCAUCGGAACGUAUCCUCGAGUGGGGGAUAACCCAGCGAAAGUUGGGCUAAUACCGCAUGAGCUCUGGGGAGGAAAGCGGGGGACCUGCGAGGGCCUCGCGCUGGAGGAGCGGCCGAUGUCCGAUUAGCUAGUUGGUGGGGUAAAGGCUUACCAAGGCGACGAUCGGUAGCUGGUCUGAGAGGAUGAUCAGCCACACUGGGACUGAGACACGGCCCAGACUCCUACGGGAGGCAGCAGUGGGGAAUUUUGGACAAUGGGGGCAACCCUGAUCCAGCCAUGCCGCGUGAGUGAAGAAGGCCUUCGGGUUGUAAAGCUCUUUCGGACGGAACGAAAUGGGCGGGACUAAUACUCCUGUCUGAUGACGGUACCGUAAGAAGAAGCACCGGCUAACUACGUG